UACGGGACGGAUCCAAGCGUUAGUCCGGAUUUAUUGGGGUUUAAAGGGUGCGUAGGCGGCUUAUUAAGUCAGGGGUGAAAGACGGUGGCUCAACCAUCGCAGUGCCCUUGAUACUGAUGAGCUUGAAUACACUUGAGGUAGGCGGAAUGUGACAAGUAGCGGUGAAAUGCAUAGAUAUGUCACAGAACACCAAUUGCGAAGGCAGCUUACUAAGGUGCAAUUGACGCUGAGGCACGAAAGCGUGGGGAUCAAACAGG
rnacentral:rRNA from 1 species